rnacentral:rRNA from 1 species
UGGGGGAUAUUGCACAAUGGGCGAAAGCCUGAUGCAGCGACGCCGCGUGGGGGAUGAAGGCCUUCGGGUUGUAAACUUCUUUUGCUCUGAACAAGGCGCACCAUGGGGUGUGUUGAGUGUAGGGGUUGAUUAGCGCCGGCUAACUACGUGCCAGCAGCCGCGGUAAUACGUAGGGCGCGAGCGUUGUCCGGAAUUAUUGGGCGUAAAGGGCUUGUAGGUGGCUGGUUGCGUCUGUCGUGAAAGCUCAUGGCUUAACUGUGGGUUUGCGGUGGGUACGGGCUGGCUUGAGUGCAGUAGGGGAGGCUGGAAUUCCUGGUGUAGCGUUGGAAUGCGCAGAUAUCAGGAGGAAUACCGGUGGCGAAGGCGGGUCUCUGGGCUGUUACUGACACUGAGGAGCGAAAGCAUGGGGAGCGAACAGG